GCCGGCGAUGGGGGCCGGCGAGCUACGCAACUCGAUGUCGUAGCAAACGGUUGACGAACACGUGCUGCACAACAGACUUCAAACGGUGUCUUUGUGUCCCCAAAAAGUCUCCGGCGGCGGUUUCCGUGUCUCGUUGGUUCAGUAUCGUCACGGCGACCGGACUCCGCCGGCUCUGCAGUGCCUGGCUCCGCCUCCACGGCAUUAAAAAGACUCCUCAGCGAUCCAUUAUUGUUUUGUGUUGUUGAACCAGUUUGUUUCUCGCUGCUUGAAUGUAAAUAUCAUUUGUACGUUUCUAAGAAAGACAAUGUGGACAUUUUUAAACAAAGCGUUGUUUGUGCUGUUAUUUGUGCAGAUUUGAAUAAUGAUUAUUAUGAAUGUUUUCGGAUCCAACAAAGAUUAUAUUUAUAAAGGUCGUUGGUCUGUGAAUGUUUUGAACGGUUUUGUUCGUCUCCAUCUUGUUUUCUUAGUGAGGAGGAAGUGACCACAAUUGGACUGAGUAGGACGUUGAGACCUGUCAAUCAGCGUUAGGCCUAAAGCGCCCCCUGCUCUAUGGUGUGUUACAUCUAAAUGGGCCGUAAUUCACUAAAUGAACAUCAUGCUGUAGCUUUAAAGAACAGGAAACAAACGUCGUUCUAACGGAGCUGCAAUGAUUAUUGUCACUGCUCAGAUUACAGGUUCCCAUCAAACGCACAAUGAUAAUUCUGUCUUAAAUGGAAUCGUAUCGCGAUGGAAUUAGAUAUCCUGAUACAAAUCAUACCGGCUAAAUUGAUUCUAAAAAUGCUAAUGCUAAAAGUUCUUAAUUAAACAAAAAAUGGUCAUCAGCUACUAUGUUGACGAUGGAUCGAUCAAUAAGCAGAAAUGGGAGAACGGAGCCUCACUCAGAUCCUCCUCCUGCUGUUAGUAAUAGUUGUACCCUAUGGUUGAAUGCACUUAUUGUACGUCGCUUUGGAUAAAAGCGUCAGCUAAAUGACAUGUAAUUAAUAUUACUGUAAUAGUAACAGUAAUAUUACUGUAAUAUUAGUAAUAGUAACAGUAAUAUUACUGUAAUAUUAGUAAUAGUAACAGUAAUAUUACUGUAAUAUUAGUAAUAGUAACAGUAAUAUUACUGUAAUAUUAGUAAUAGUAACAGUAAUAUUAGUAAUAGUAACAGUAAUAUUACUGUAAUAUUAGUAAUAGUAACAGUAAUAUUAGUAAUAGUAACAGUAAUAUUAAUGUAAUAUUAGUAAUAGUAACAGUAAUAUUACAGUAAUAUUAGUAAUAGUAACAGUAAUAUUACAGUAAUAUUAGUAAUAGUAACAGCAAUAUUACUGUAAUAUUAACAACAGCAAUAUUACUGUAAUAUUAGUAAUAGUAACAG
ensembl:lncRNA